CCUACGGGUGGCAGCAGUGGGGAAUAUUCCACAAUGGGCGAAAGCCUGACGCAGCGACGCCGCGUGAGGGAUGAAGGUCUUCGGAUCGUAAACCUCUGUCAGCAGGGAAGAACGGUCACUGUGGUAAUUAGCAGUUAAUUGACGGUACCUGCAAAGGAAGCACCGGCUAACUCCGUGCCAGCAGCCGCGGUAAUACGGAGGGUGCGAGCGUUAACCGGAAUUACUGGGCGUAAAGCGCUCGUAGGCGGUACAUCAAGUCAAGGGUGAAAUCCCCGGGCUCAACGUGGGAACUGCCUUUGAAACUGGUGAACUGGAGUGUGGGAGAGGAUAGUGGAAUUCCAGGUGUAGGAGUGAAAUCCGUAGAUAUCUGGAGGAACAUCAGUGGCGAAGGCGACUAUCUGGCACAUAACUGACGCUGAGGAGCGAAAGCGUGGGUAGCAAACAGGAUUAGAUACCCUUGUAGUC
rnacentral:rRNA from 1 species